rnacentral:rRNA from 1 species
GUGGGGAAUUUUGGACAAUGGGCGCAAGCCUGAUCCAGCAAUGCCGCGUGCAGGAAGAAGGCCUUCGGGUUGUAAACUGCUUUUGUACGGAACGAAACGGUCCUGGUUAAUACCUGGGGCUAAUGACGGUACCGUAAGAAUAAGCACCGGCUAACUACGUGCCAGCAGCCGCGGUAAUACGUAGGGUGCAAGCGUUAAUCGGAAUUACUGGGCGUAAAGCGUGCGCAGGCGGUUUUGUAAGACAGGCGUGAAAUCCCCGGGCUCAACCUGGGAAUUGCGCUUGUGACUGCAAGGCUGGAGUGCGGCAGAGGGGGAUGGAAUUCCGCGUGUAGCAGUGAAAUGCGUAGAUAUGCGGAGGAACACCGAUGGCGAAGGCAAUCCCCUGGGCCUGCACUGACGCUCAUGCACGAAAGCGUGGGGAGCAAACAGGAUUAGAAACCCGAGUAGUCC